GCCCUCACUACCCACCAUCUGUCCAGGUAGGACACUGCUGCCCUCACUACCCACCAUCUGUCCAGGUAGAAGGACACCGCUGCCCACACUACCCACCAUCUGUCCAGGUAGGACACCGCUGCCCACACUACCCACCAUCUGUCCAGGUAGAAGGACACUGCUGCCCUCACUACCCACCAUCUGUCCAGGUAGGACACUGCUGCCCUCACUACCCACCAUCUGUCCAGGUAGAAGGACACCGCUGCCCACACUACCCACCAUCUGUCCAGGUAGGACACCGCUGCCCACACUACCCACCAUCUGUCCAGGUAGAAGGACACUGCUGCCCUCACUACCCACCAUCUGUCCAGGUAGGACACUGCUGCCCUCACUACCCACCAUCUGUCCAGGUAGAAGGACACCGCUGCCCACACUACCCACCAUCUGUCCAGGUAGGACACCGCUGCCCACACUACCCACCAUCUGUCCAGGUAGAAGGACACUGCUGC